rnacentral:misc_RNA from 1 species
UUUCCGUAGGUGAACCUGCGGAAGGAUCAUUAUUGUAUAACCGAGGUGCGAGGGCUGUCGCUGACCCGAAAGGUCGUGCACGCCCGAGUGCCCUCAGACACAUCCACCUCACCCCUAUGUGCACCACCGCGUGGGUCCCCCUUUGGCUUGUUCGGAGGGGGGCUUACGUUUUCACACAAACUUUGUAUGCAGUGUAGAAUGUAUCUUUUGUUUUUGCGAUCACGCAAUCAAUACAACUUUCAACAACGGAUCUCUUGGCUCUC